UACGUAGGGAGCAAGCGUUGUCCGGAAUCAUUGGGCGUAAAGCGCGCGUAGGUGGCCUCAUAAGUCCGCUGUGAAAGUCAAAGGCUCAACCUGUGAAAGCCGGUGGAUACUGUGGGGCUAGAGUACGGAAGAGGCGAGUGGAAUUCCUGGUGUAGCGGUGGAAUGCGCAGAUAUCAGGAGGAACACCAAUAGCGAAGGCAGCUCGCUGGGACGUUACUGACACUGAGGCGCGAAAGCGUGGGGAGCGAACAGG
rnacentral:rRNA from 1 species